rnacentral:lncRNA from 1 species
CCACGAGGGCGAAGGCUUGGAGGAGAGUGAGGUGGCGUUGGGUGAGGUUCCAGUGGGAGGGGUUGAGCGACGAAGAUCCGACGGUGGAGAUGUAAUGUGGCGGUUGAGGCGAGUGGGAGGAGAAAGAAGAGAUGAGUUUGGGAAGUGCGGUGGGUUUAGUGAAGGAGAGGUUAGGUUGUUGUAGUGAGAGAGUGUUGUUGAUGGUGGGUUUAGUGAAGGAGAGGUUAGGUUAGGUUAGAAAAACGGGUGGGUGGUUUGAAGGUUGAAAACGCAGGGAGGUUAGCAUCUCUGUGGAGUUUGGUGGUUGACACGGUGACGAAGAGUUUUCUCCACUGCUGAAACUGAAGCUUCCAUCUUCAUCUUCUCUUUACGUGUUGUGUGUGAGAUUCGGAGAUUGAAAUAAGCAGAAAACAAAAGUUGUGGCUUUGGAGUUCAUGAUGGUGGGAUGAUUAUGAAGAUUUUUUUUUAAUGAAAGACUUUAAACAGCGCUUUCUCAAAGCCGCUGACUAAGGUGUCUAUAUUUAAAGCUUUCUAAAAGCGCUGUCUAAGGGGGGGUCUUAGACAGCGCUUUUACAAAAGCGCUGUCUAAGACCCCCCCUUAGACAGCGCUUUCAUUAUUUUUUUGAACAUUUUCCGUGUUUUAUUUUUAUUUUAACCUUAGACAGCGCUUUCUUUUAAAAGCGUUGUCUAAGAUGCGCUGUUAAAAGUCAUUUUUGGCGUAGUGGACGUAUGAAUUGCUUCAUAUGGAAGACAAUGAAAGCAUAAUUGAUUUCUUCACCAAGGUUACGAAACUAGUGAAUCAAAUCAAGGUAUGUGGAGAAGUGUUGACAUCAAGAUCUGUCGUUGGAGAGAUCUUGAGGUCGUUGGCUCUAAAGUUCGAACACGUGGUAGUAGCCAUAGAAGAGUCGAAAGAUUUAUCAAAACUGACAAAGGAAGAGCUUCAAGGGACGCUUGAAUCUCAUGAACAAAGAAUGGUUGAAAGAGUUGCAGGAAAGUCGAAGAGUGAUAUGGUUUUACAGGCGCAAUCAGUAAAAGAAAGGAAAGGAAAAGGAAGUUGGACUGGCAACAAAGGCAUAUGAGGUUACAACAAUUCGACUGAUCGAAAUCAGCAAGAAGGAAACUGGUCGAAUAAGAGAAAACCCUGGAAUCAAGGCAACCAAAGAGGUGGUGUUGCAGGUAGAGGAAGAGGUGGUGGUCAAAAGCAAGACAAGAGUCACAUUCAGUGUUACAAUUGUCAGAAGUAUGGUCACUAUUCUAGUGAUUAUUCCGAAAAGUAGAAGAAUCAAGAAACUUAUGUAAAGCUGGCGAAACAUGAAGAAUAUGAGACGUUGUUGAUGGUUACAACAAGAGAUGAAGAGAGAUUCAAGGACCAGUGGUACUUGGACUAAGGAUGCUCAUCACACAUGUCUGGAAGGAAAGAUUGGUUUGUCAACAUAAAGCCCUCAAUGAAGAAUAUGGUGAAAUUUGAAAAUGACAACACUCUAGCAGCUGAAGGUGUUGGUGAUGUUCUGAUUAUGAGGAAAGAUGGCAAGAGGUCAGUAAUUUCAAAUGUGUUGUACAUACCAGGCAUGAAGAGCAAUUUGCUCAGCAUAGGGUAGUUAGUCGAAAAGAACUACAAGGUGUUGAUCGAAUACAAGAUGAUGAGAGUUCUCAACUCAAAUGGAAGGUUGAUCUUGAAGGCUCCAAUGUCUUAGAAUAUAACCUUCAAGAUUGAAUUAAAUGUGAUGGAGCAUAAGUGUCUUGCAACAGCAGCCAGCAGAGAUGAAUGAAUAUGGCAUUAUAGACUUGGCCAUCUCAAUUUCAAAGACAUCAGAAAUUUGAAGAGAAGAAGUAUGGUUUCAGGAUUACUAGAAAUCGACAUUCCAAACGAAUUCUGUGAAGAAUGUGUGCAAGCGAAGAAGCACAAGAACAACUUUAAUAAGGAUGCAGGAAGCAGGUCGAUGGAAAUUUUGAAGUCAUAUACUCUAAUGUAUAUGGUCUUAUCCAGGUGGAUUCGAUUGGAGGUAACAAAUACUUUGUUACAUUCACAGAUGAUUUCAGUCAAAAACUUUGGACUUACCUGAUCAAGAAGAAAAGUGAAGUGAUCGAGGUAUUUGCCAAGUUUAAAUAUAUGGUCGAAAGACAAAGCAGUCGAAAGAUCAAGAUUCUAAGGAUUGAUGGUGGUGGAGAAUAUGUGUCGAAAGACUUCGACGCAUUAUGUGUGAAAGAAGGGAUUGUGCAUGAGGUGGUGCCACCCUACACUCCACAGAAGAAUGGAUUCGUAGAAAGGAAGAAUAAAACCAUCAUGAAUAUGGUUAGAAUUAUGUUGAAAAAGGAAAGCAUUUACCCAAAUAAUUAUGGGGAGAAGUUGUGUCGACAACAACAUAUAUCUUGAAGAGAUGUCCGACGAAGAAGCUAGAAGGAAUCACGCCAGAAGAAUGUUAGUCUGGUGUCAAGCCUAGCUUGAUUCAUCUGAAGGUGUUUGGAUAUAUAGCACAUAGACAUGUGUCGGAUCAAUUGAGAAGAAAACUUGAUGACAAGUUGAGUCAGAUGAUCCUGAUAGGAUAUCAUUCAACUGGAGGAUACAAGUUGUUCGACCCAGUGAACAAGCAAGUGGUGAUCAGCAGGGAUGUGAUCAUAUAUGAGCUUAAGGAAUUGGAUUGGACUGAGAAUGUUAAGAAGGAUUCAAUUAGAAUCUUAUAUGAUGAAUCAACUAGUGAAGUCGAAAGAGAAGUUCGACAAGAAGUCAGAGGUGAAGCAGGCCCAAGCAGACCUCAAAGAACAAGACACAUGCCUGCAAGGUUGCAAGAAUGUGUGAUUACAUCAGAUGAUGUGGUCAAUGAAGAAGGUGAGCUGGUACACUAUGAUUUCUACGCAGAUGUCAAACCAGUCAAUGCAGCUGAGGCAUUGAAAUAUUCGAAGUGGAUGAAAGCAAUGAACAAAGAGCUGAAGUCAAUAAUACUUGGUCACUUGUCGAAUUUCCCCAAUAUAAGAAGGCAAUCGAUGUGAAGUGGGUAUACAAGGUGAAGUUGAAUCCCAAAGGAUAAGUGACUCGACACAAGGCGAGACUUGUAGCGAAAGGAUUUCUUCAGAAAGAAUGAAUCGACUUCAAUAAAGUUUUGCACCUGUUGCUAGGAUCGAAAUAAUUAGGUUGGUUGCUGGUCUAGCAAACAUAAACAACUGGCAGAUAUGCCAGAUGGAUGUGAAAUGUGCAUUCCUUAAUGGCCACAUUAGAAGAAGAAGUUUAUGUUGCACAACCAGUUGGGUUUGUGAAACAAGGCAAAGAAAGAAAUGUGUACAGGUUGCAUAAAGCCCUGUACGGACUUAAACAAGCUCCAAGAGCUUGGAACAAGAAGAUAGAUGUCUUUUUAAGGGAGAAAGAAUUUGUGAAGUGAAAAACUGAACAUGGAGUAUAUGUAAGAAAAAGCAAGAGUGAAUUGCUUAUAAUAUGUCUCUAUGUCGAUAACUUGUUGAUAACAGGUAGCUGCAAGAAGGAGAUCGAAGACUUCAAAGGUGAUCUCAACAAGGAAUUCGAAAUGUCAGAUCUGGGUGACAUUUCAUAUUUCCUUGGCAUCGAAUUCUAUAAGAGUGGUAGAGGUUUGAAGAUGCAUCAAAGAAGGUAUGCAUGUGAAAUCCUCAAGAGAUUUGAGAUGCGAGAUUGCAACUCAACUUCGACUCCAACUGAUCCCAAAUUACAACUGUCGAAAAAUUCAGAUGAAGAUGAUGUCGAUCCAACCCAAUAUAGAAGACGUAUUGGGUCACUUCGAUACCUUUAUCAUACAAGGCAUGACUUAGCAUAUAAUGUAGGUAUGGUGAGUAGAUUCAUGCAUAAGCCAAAGGUAUCACAUCUAGAAGCAAUAAAGAGGAUACUAAGGUAUCUGAAAGGAACUCUCGGCUAUGGCAUUUUGUUUCCUGCAGCUGACGAAGGAAAAGAAUGCAAACUAGUGGGAUACACCGACUCAAGUUGGUGUAGUGAUGUUGAGGAUCAAAAAACCACAGUUGGUUAUGUGUUUAUGCUAGGUUGUGCACUCAUUGCUUGGAGUUCGAGAAAGGAGCCAAUUGUGGCACUAUCAUCGUGCGAAGAAGAAUACAUAGCUGCUUCUCUUUGUGCAUGUCAAGCAACAUGGAUGGUGAAUCUGGUCAAAGAAAUAACAGCGAAGAGUCAUGGAGCAAUUACCAUGAAGAUCGAUAGCGUGUCAGCUAUCAAUUUGGCAAAGAAUCCGAUAGCACAUGGUCGAAGCAAGCACAUCGAUAUGAGGUUCCAUUAUCUUUGAAAGUAGGUAGCAGAUGGGAAGAUGAAUGUGGAACACUGCAGAACUGAGAAUCAGAUUGCAGACAUCAUGACGAAUGGAGUGCAUGUCGAAGUAUUUAGAAGACUAAGAGUUAUGAUGAAUGUGGAUAGCUUAGACACAAUGAAUUAGGUGGUGUGUUGAAUUGUAAUUCCUUGUGUCGAAGCAGGUUGCUCGACAGAAGCAAGGAAGUGUUGAACCACCUAGUGUCUUAAGUUGUAUUAGUGUGUCAAAGUGUCGAAGCAUAUUGUUUCACACAGGAUUUCGACUUAGGCCUGUUUUUUGUAGUGUUAACUAUUUUAGGCUUUUAUAAUUUUGGGCUUUGGCUUAGGGAGCAAGUUAACCUAAAUCUAUAAAUAGAGGGAGUAACCCUUAUUUUUGUAAUGAAGUGAAUGUUGUAUUCAUAAUAUUGUAUUCACAUAAUGUUGCAGUUGCAAAGUGAAUAAGAAGUUUUCCACAGGUUGUGGGCAGAGAGAAACUCUGCAGAAAAUAUUCUUCUUCUCCAGCGUUCUUUCUUUAUUUCUCCAUUGUUCUUUUAUUUUAUUGUCAUUGUCUGGGUGAUAACAAUCUUGUUCAUCGAGAUUGAUAGAAAUUCUCCAUAGAUUAUGGUGCAUUUCCAACACAUUUCACAUGUCAUUUGGUGAAAUUAAAAUUAUUCAUGAUAAUGUUGCAUGUUUACUUCACCUUUCGAUCAUCGGUGAGUUUUAUGAUCAUAUUGUGGGUAUCCCUGAAGAAAGUGUUAAUGCACUUAUGUUAGAAAUAUUGGGUUUCACCAUACAUAAGACCAAAUCACAAAUUCAUAAUUGUAAGGGGGCAUAGUAUAGCCAAGAGUGUCUAUAUUCCCUAUUUGAGGGGCAUUGUGAUGUUAGUCGAUUCAAAUGUGUCAUUAGGGGUUAUAUGUUUAUGCUUGUAGAGAGUAUUAUUUUUGCAGAUAAGAGUUUUACUCUUGUAAUGGAAAAAUAUGUAUUGUUGUUUAGGGACUUGUCAAACUAUAAUAGAUAUGUAAUUUAUUGGUAUCUAUUUGCCACACAAUAUAUAUCUUCCUAACGCACAAGCAUAAGGAAACUCAUAUGUUUUUUUAAGAGUACAACCAUAAAUCCGGGUAUCGGUUUCGGCAUAUUCAUCUCUCUCAAACUCUUCAUCAAUGUGUUCUAAAGUAUCUCAGGAUAUAGAUCCAGAAACUUCUCAUUAAAUGUUCAACUUCAUAAAAAGUCCUAUAAAAAGAAGUUCUAAUAUUUCCUAGUUGUAACUUUAUGUUGCCAUUCAUAUUUUGCCAAUAUUUGCACAAAUCACCCAUAUUAUUUUCCAACGUCUUCUACAAUUCCCAUUGAGCAAACUCAAUUCUAAAAUGAAAAAAAUAUCACAUAAAAGGGAUUUCAUAGCAUUAUAAAAAAUAAAUAUUUAAAUUACAAAUUUCAAAAACUAGUAAUCAUACAUAUUAGUCGUUGUGUUGCUGAAAUUAUAUUUCUCAGAGGACAGUUGUCGAACACGUUGCCCUCGAAAAUGGGUUCAACAAAUUAAACCAGAAUCACCACAUUUAACAUAUAUUCAAUUGUAGAAGAUGGUGGAAUAGAAAAGAAAUAAAGAACACAUAUUUGAUAACACGGUUUGAUGCAACAGUGCCUAUGUCUUGAGGGUUGGAUAUCAACCCAAGAAAGGAAAUUAACUAUUAGUAGCUUAGUACAAUUAGUUUUACAAGCAACAACAAACCAUAUGUUGUUCAAUGCCUCUUUCUAAUACUACCCAAUGACUUUCUAUUUAGGUCCCCCCCCCCCUCCUCUAAAUAUGAGAACUCUUAUCACUUUCUCUCAAUCACUAAACCCUAGUGAUUAAUGUUUAACCCAAUUAUCAAAGAUCAAGAUAACUCAAAUAGAAAAACCUAUAACUAUGUCAAGUUACUGAAACAUAGUGUGGUGUAUAUGCAUCAAUAUCAAUCACUCUAAACCCUAUAACUCUAACAUCUUCAAUGUAUUAUUUGCGUUUCAAUAUAGGUUUUGAGCUUCUUAUAUAGCUAAAGUAUUUUGCGCUUUUCUCUUUGGAUCUUAGCUUUAAUUUCGUCCAGAAUCUUUGCAUAAUCAGUUGGAUAUUAUUUGUUCUAUAUAUAUAUCCAACAGAAAGAUAUGAUUUGGUUUAAUUAAAAUUAAAAUUAAAAUCACAUUUAUAUCUUAUUUUCUCUUCACAGUUGUCCAACAAACCAUAUAAUUAUAUUGCUAAAUAAAAGCAAUAAAAUCUAAUUGAAUCUUCAAUAGAAGACUCGUCCCAAAGCGCAAUAAUUUGGCAUGUUGAGUAAGGCCCGGAUGUUGUACCCACAUGUUGUGUCAUUGCAUACAGAAUGUGUCCCUUCUGCACCAGAAAAUCAUCUUGAAGUAGCUGAGAAAACAUGGGCGCUUCUCCAUGUUAUUAUUUUGCAAAAUGCAGUCAAUCCAAAAGGAACCACAAUCUUCCCUUUUGGUAAAUUAUGGAAAAAUAACUCUUCAAGAUAGAUAGCACUCAUUCAAUCAGAACAAGUGGCAUUCAGCAGAAGACUACCAGAGCAUACAAUUUCAACAACAACAUUCAGCAGAGUUGUAGCACAGAAGCGGAAAAGUAGUAGUAUUCAUCACAGAUGUGACACAAAACAAUGAUCCAAAAUCAAUCAGACAUACAUUCAUGCAAUCAUUCACAACUUUGUUAUGCAUGGCACUCAGUCAUCUCAUAGUUAGUAGCAUACAUUCUACCAUCUAACAAUUAUAAGUAUGCAUUCAUUCACAUACUCAGUCAUGCAUAACACAAACAGUUAGUAGUUAAUAUCAGGAUAUGCAAAAUACUACUAACACAAAAUCUCACUCCAAAAGGGCCAGAUGUCUUGCUCGAUGCUCCAACAUGUGUGGACACAGUCAUACCAGGAUCAUAUCAAACAUCAACAGUUAGUCCCUAUCACAAUAGUUUGUACCAGAUAGUACAAAUCAUAGUCAGUAGCAUAUUUUGAACUCUAUACACCACAAAGUCAAUAGUUAAGUUAGCCACUCCACUACACACUCCAUUUUUUCCCCCAUUUGCCACAAUUUGGAAAAUGCAUGAAAAGAGAGAAAACCAUAGGAAUACUACCAAACAUAUUAGAGAAGAGAAGUCUUCUUUCAAAGCAUAUUCAGUCUUCCAAAUAUUAUAAAUCCAAAUCUUUUUCCAAACUGAUUUGGAUUAACAAACUGCAUCCAAAAGACAUUUUUUCUAACCAAAUGCAGUACUAGCAGUCUGCGCGCCAAAAUAUCCCAUAACAUGUUCUAGACAUCUUGAAUUCCAUUUUGCCUAUAUAAAAAAGCCAACCACAGAAACAACAAUCUCCUCAUUUGGCUAUUUUUUAGGCAAAACACGUAUUUAUCGACUUCUUCAAGAUUGCACCAUAACUAGUGUUCAAGAGAUAAACAUUAUCAAAGAAGUGUUCUCUUUUCUUUUUUUUCUCCCUCUCUUUACCUCAAAAGAGAUAGAGUACAUAGAAAGAACCAUAAACAAAAUAAGAAGCUUCAGGAUCCAAAAUAAAAGCUUGACAAGAACAGCAACCAAUCAGACCAGCGAAUAUCUUCAUCCGAAAAAACUUAAGAAAGGAUCAAGUACCAUAUAAUAAGAACACAAGAGCACAAUCAUCAAAGGAGCACCAAAAUAGUAAUAACAGUAAUAACUGGUUGAGGUGAAAAAUCUCCAACAUUUCUCCAUCAAAAAACAUAUCAGUUUCACUACACAGAUGUUUAACGCAAUGUCUGAGACAUCUUUCCCAACAUUCAACUUGAAACUGAAAUUCAAUAACCCAUGAGGAAUAUAUUCAUUAUUAACCUAAAUCUCCUUCAUCGACGUAGGAAAACAUGUUCCAACAAUCAACAUUAUUUUCAACAACUGAGCAUCACUAUGAAGCUCCAUAAUUUCAUUAUUCUUCAGUACUUCAACGUGAUGUUCUUCUUCAUCCUCACUUGCAAUUUCCUCUUAUUCCUUGGUCAUAAUCUUGUCAAGAGAGGUAACCUUGAUUCUGCCCAUAUAAUCAUCAAUAAUUGGAGGUGAAAGCUUCACACACUUUCCUCUAUCAUACACUUUUCUAUACUCCUUGCAACCUUCAAAAUUACACUCAGGAACGAAUUCCUUGACCAUCUUUUUAUAGCAAGAACCAACAACUUUUAUGAAUUCCAUGAUAUCUUUACACUCAAAAGCUUAUUUACUUAACUCUCUUUCAUAAGCAAUUCUUCUUUGGAAGACAUACUUCCAAUUCUGAACAGUGAUUUUAGAAUUGAAUGACACAUUAUCCAUGGAGCAGCGAGAAUUCUCUUUCCAUAAACCUUUCUUCUUGAAAGCCUCCCUUGUAUUAAUUGCUAUAAGAUUUCACACAUCCAAAUACCAAGAGCACCCUUUAGCUUUUUAAUUUGAGCAUUAUCUAAGGCUUUGGUAAAAAUAUCUCUUAGUAGCUUAACUUGUAGACCAAGAGAGUCAGUAAAACUUCCUACAAUACUUAUCUCAAUUUCAGACAGCAUUUGUUGAACAUAAUAUUCCAACAUCUUGUCUAAAAUUUCACCAAACCCACAAUCAUGUUUUUGAAUAAUCAAAAUUCAAGAAUUAUGAGAACCAACCCCUAUAUGAAAAAUUAUGCCAUUAUCACUAAUCUUCCUUAUCUUCUUUUUUUGAACCACUAUAGGUUGUUGAUUGUUGGAUAGACCUUUAGCCUGACCAUCAACCUUCCCUUCAAUGAUAACUCCUUGCUUGAUUCUCAUAAAUCCCAAAAGUGGUACUUUUGAAACACAAGUAAGAUAUUGAGAUACCUUAUAUGACAACUUGGUUUGCUUUCCAACUUGACACGUGUCAUGAAUUUUACUUUCUUCAAUCUUUAGUUUUGACACCAUCUUCAUAUAUGAUCUUCUUCAUACUUUUAACCUUGGGUGAGGGCAGAGAAAUUCACAUAUAAUAGUUGUAUUUGGAUCUUGAACCUUUCAUUAACACCAUUUCAUCCUUUCUGGAGACAAUACAUGUUGACUUGUUGUAGCUAACAGUCAUACCUUGAUCACAUAUUUGACUUAAGUUGAUCAAGUUAGAAGUUAAUCCUUCUACUAGUAGCACAUCAUCAAGACAUGGUAAAUCUGGACUCACCGGCUUGCCUAUCCCAUUGAUUCUUCUCUAUUUCCAUCACCAAAUGUGACAUAACUAUUAGAAUAGGGAUUUAACACUUCAAUGUAGCUCCUUUCACCAAUCACAUGUUAUGAACAUCCACUAUAAAAAUACCAAUCAUUUCUAAAAGAAACUCUAAGAGGAACAUGAGUUAAGAGACACUGACGGUUUCCUUGUGUUGCCAUACAACUAUUCCUAGCACUAUAACUAUAGUUUGGUGUAUAUACAACAAUAUUGUUGAUAAUUGGGUUUCCUUGUGUAUAUACAUUUGAGAUAUUAUAAUCCUAGCACUAUAACCCCAUUGAUUUAAAGUACUUGUUAUUGUUGUAUAUACACCAAACCUACAACUAUUCCAAGUUAAUGAAACAUAGUUUGGUGUAUAUACAACAAUAACAAGUACUCUAAAUCCUAGCACUAUAAUAUCUCAAAUGUAUUGUUUGUGUUCCAUGUAAGUUUUGAACUCCUUAUAUAGAAAAAUUAUUUUGGGCUUUUCUCUUUGGAUCUUAGCUUUAAUUUCAUCCAUAAUCUUUUCACAGUUUGUUGAAUAUUAUUUGUUCCUUAAAUAUCUCCAACUGAAAGAUAUGAUUUGGUUUAAUUCAAAUUUAAAUUUAAAUCACAUUUAAAUCUGAUUUAAUCUUCACAGAUGUCCAACAAAUCAUAUAAUCAUAUUGCUAAAUAAAAGCAAUAAAAUCUAACUAAAUCUUCAACAGAAGAUUCAUACCAAAACACAAUAAUUUGGCAUGUUGAGCAAGGCCCAGAUGUUGUAUCCACAUGUUGUGACAUCGCGUUUAGCAUGUGUUCCUUCUGCACCAGAAAAUCAUCUUGAAUUAGUUGAGGAAACUUGAACACUUCUCCAUGUUGUUGUUUUUCAAAAUGCACUCAAUCAAAAAGGAACAACAGUUGCCUAAAUGCAACACUAGAUUGAUCCAUGCUCCAAUAGAUCUUUAUUUAUGAGGAUUCAACCAAGUUUAUUUAACAUAAUAAAUAAAUAACAUACAAUCAACACAUGUUUGGUCAAACUCAUGCAACCAUUAUUAAUAUUCAACCUUAUAAGUAUACUAUAAGACUUUUGCUCAUAUUGUGAUUUUUCCACACUCUCUUCUUUUUAUUCAUGCAAGUAUCUUUUUUUUUUAUUUACCUUGUUAUCCAAUAUUUUCCUCAUUCUCUUCUUCCUACUUCUCACCUUUUUCCAUCUUCUCACCUUAUGUUCUAUAUCUGCCUCCUCCGAAUCACUUCCUAAUUCAUUUUUUUUUAUUGAUGAUUUUCUAUAUUGCUUGGGCCUUAGAAUUUUGGCAAUCCUCCUUCAUAUGAAAUUCAUAGAAUAUCAUCUUUCAUUCUUCUUGGGAUUUUCAACUGUAUUUCCUUCACAACCAUUAGAUGAUUUAGCUUCCAAUUUCUAUGAUAUUAUCCCAAUUUAUGUUUUUAGAUUUUUGAGGGAUUUGUCUGUAUUCUUAUUGGUAGUAUCUUACGCUAGAUGCAUGUUCCUGAUAUUUUCUUGUGUAUAUUAUACAUAUUGAAUGAGAAUUCCAUUUCCUUUGGAAAACUUCCUCGUGUGAGUAGGUUGUCGAUUAUGUUCUUGGGAUUGUUAUUGAUGUUAAUCUUUUUGGUAUCUUUGUUGUUGUCUUAUAUAAGGUGGUCGAGAGUAUUGUUGUGAUGAUUGUUGUUGGUUUUCAUAUUGUUUUGGUUGAUUCAAUUUUUUUUGGUUGUUUUAAUAUGGUUGUUGUUGUUAGUUUGAGUAUUGAUUUUGUUAAGGUUAUUUUUGGUAUUAGUUCUGGUACGGUUUCUCUUGAUUUGAACCCUGACCAGAAUUUUCACUCCAUCUUAGACUUUGAUGAUUUAUCCAUGCUAGUGUAUAAGUGCUAGAGAAUGGAUUAUUUAUUUGGAAUUUCCCAUGAAAUUGACUUAUUCGUCCACAUAUUCUCCUGAUUUACACUAGUCAUUUUUAUGACCUUCAAUGUAGUAGUCACCCAUCAGAGGUUUAUGUACCCUUUUUACCUGAUGAUACCCCAUUUGGGGUUCCUCUAUUUUCUUGGUUGGUGUGUAUAUUUGUGCCUUCAUCUACUUGUGCAUUCUAAGUAUCAAUAUAUAUGCUUCCUUUUCUGCUAGCAACUCGGUAUAAUAUGGCCCUAAAUUCAUUAUGCACCAUGUUACCAAUCAUUUAUUUUAUUAUCGUCACAGAUUUGUUCAACAUGGUGCCUCCUAUUAAAGCAUCCAAAAGUAGUAUGGUUCCUUUGGUGAAGUAUUGUACCUUCCCCCAAAUCAUUAGUGUUAUGUAAAGGACAAUGUUAAAUCAUUAAUUUAUACAUUUCCCAUGCAUAAUAAUGAGACUCGUUAUCUCCUUGUUUGAAUUCAAUUAUGGCAGUCAUUCGAACAACAAAGUUGCUCACGGAAUAAAAUCUUCCCAAAAACAUAUUUCUUAUUCCACUCAUAUGGUGAUAGGUUUUUUGGGCACCGCCUCAACCCGAUCUUGAGAUCUUCUAGUCAAUGUUAUCGGGAACAAUAAUAAUUUCUUAUUGCUUGUAGAUACACCAGUUGGGUUGUAGAACGAACACACAUGUUUGAAUUGUGAAAAAUGUUUGUAUGUGUCAAUCAAAGAAUUUCCAUCAAAUGUAAUAUCUCUUAAACCUGAAAGAACAUAAUUUUCAAUUCAAAGUUACAUGGAGUCGCCAGUUGGAGUCCAUAGUUUACUUCUUCUCCAUUUUUAUAACUUCCAAAUCUUCCAGAGUAUGGUUAUCUAGUUCAGUCAUCUUUUCAUCUUGUUGAUUAGCUACUCGAGUAGCUUGCUAGAUUUCUCUUGUGGUUCUCUCAAUUUCUAAACCAUUUUAACCCUGCAUUACACAUAGACUAACCAACUGAAACCUUAAGUACUACCUUUCAAACAAAAUUUUAAAUAAUAUAGAGCAAAAAAUUAAAACAGAAUUUAAAAUGCGAUAAAAUUUCAAAUUCAAUCGCAUAUUUUUUCCUUGUUGAAGUGAUCAACAAUCCUCAACAACAACGUCAUUUUGUUAGAUUGGAAAUCGAUGUCGCCGUAAUCUUGCCAAUAAAAACAUCAUAAUGGCAAGUAAAAUUAUUGUAUCCACAUAGAUUUUAUUACCUCGUACAAGGAUAUACUUGUCAAAAGUACAUAAUGUAUGGCACCCCUAUGCUGGUAGGGGUGGCUAGAGGCCUUAGUAAUUUUCUACGGGUUAGGGCUUGCUCACAGUGGUGAGAAACCCGGUUUGGUGAUGUUUUACAGUGAUGAGAGAGAAAGUUCACGUGAGGUGAGAAGCUUUGCAGCUUUAUGGUGUAUAUAGUGUGUUAUUAUGAUUUGUCUUCUCAUCUACUAAGGAUGAGGUAUUUAAAUAGGCUAUGGUGCCUAAAAUUAGGUUUUCCUUGGGAAUAGUAACCGCCCACUUAGUUAAUGGUGAACUAUUGAAUCCUAUUUCCCAAGGAUAUGUGGAUUAGCUUGUUGACUCUGACUUCUCUCUGGCUGAGGAAUGUGUUAUCCCAUGUUUUCCAUGAUUGGGGUGAGUAUGGAGUACUCAGGGUGGGAUACUCCCUUACCGCAAGCGGCAUAUGGGAGUCGCCUCUCAUGGACGGUUGUAAACCUUCCGUCUUUAAUAGGUCUUUUACAAAUAUAUUACUACAAAGGACAUGGUGUGUGCACUUGCGAAUUUAAUGCUAUGUGUGAGUAAUAACUCAUGGGUGUGUAUAGCGUGAUUGAUUGAUUGGUUAUGUAAUUGUUAACUAGAUAAUUGUUAAUUAAUAUUGAAAAAUUUACUAAAAAUGAUUAAGUUCUCAUUUUGAAUCAUAUACUCCUAUAUGUGAAAAUUCUUAUGACUAUUCCUAUAACGAAUUUGAUUUAAUCAUUACCUUUUAUAAAACAUGGAAUUACAACCUCGCAACCCCAAAAUGUUGGAAGUCUUUAAUCGAAGGGUGACCCACUUUGUUAAAGCAACCCCUAGAUUUUAGGAAUCUUAAAUUGCAAGGACAAAGGUUUUAUGGCACAUUAAAUAAGAAGGGAGUUUUACAAAACACAGAAUUACAUCUCGGAUCCCCCCAAAUUAGUAUUUUAAAACCUUACCUGACCCGGUCGGUUGGACCAGACGGACCAUUAAUAGAGAUUAAGACGGGCUAAAAAGGUCAAAAGACCAAACAUGCAAUUGACCCGAUGAAAACCGAUGUUAGCCGGUCAGUUCACCAGUCAAACCAUUGAACCAAUGGUUUUGUUUGAACCAACGAGAUGCAUUUUUUUGCAAGGAGUGAAAAAAAAGUUCAAAAUUAAUACAACAUCUCUUAUCUCGUGUCUCAACUCAAAAUAUACAAUUUUCAUAUUCUUAAGAAUCUACUUCUCAUCCAUUAAUCUACCUUAAACUCUUAACUCUUAUAAUCAAUCUUCUUCCUUGUUAUAGAACUAGUUUUUGUUAUUUAAUUUCUUUAUUAUUGUUGAAUUUACUAAUUUCAUUUUCAGUAUUGUUAUCAUUAUUCAAUUUUAAUGUUACCUUUUUUUCUUUGCAUUUAGCCUUUGUCAUUUGAUUUGGGUGAUUUUCCUAAAGGUUUAUGACUCAUUAUUUUAUUUUGCCUUAAUGCAUUUUUUGGUCCCUUAACUUAAUUUAAGGUUUCACUUUAGUCUCUUAUCUAAUUAAUGUUAUAUAUUAGCCCCUUAAAAACAUUUAUGUUAGCCAACUUAAUCCUUUAUGUUAAACGUUGAUAAAAAUGUUAACUUUUGCAUAUGUGACCGUUUAAGUGGUAUUUGAGUUAUCUGACGUCGCUUUUUUUUAAUAUUUUGAAUUUAUUAGUUUUUGUAAAGAAAAGUUUGAUACACCGUAAUUUUCAUUUCAUUUCACCUCUUUCUUACUCAAAACCCUAAUUUCAGUUGUCUCAAUGGGAAAUAAACUGAGCUCUUCUCAAGUCAUUCAGCCGUCCACCCUCACCCCCAAAGACGACGAGCCACCCACCCCCGUCUCUGAAGAAGACAAAGUCGAUGAACAAGAUGAUGACAACAAAGAUGAUGCACCUUCCAAAAACACCAAUCAACCUGCCAUCUCUCAAGUUUUUUAACCUCUAAAAACAAAAAUCCCUCCAGUUUAAAUAAGAUACCCUUUCCUUUAUACAUGUUGACUCAGUUUUUUAAUAAUUUCUUGUUGUCAUGCCACGUUUCUAGAUGUUAAAGA